rnacentral:lncRNA from 1 species
AUAUUUCUCCGUUAUUUCUCUCUCUAAAUCUCAUACCUUUCUCUUCUCUCGCCACCUUUCUAUCCUCUUCUCUCACCAUCAUAUAUGAGCUCACAUCCACGGUUACAGGUGCAGCCAUAGCUGUCGCCUAGCAUAAGCAGAGUUUGGGUCACAAUCUGGUGCCGAAUUUAAGGGAAAUUGGUUCGGAGUUUUAGGUAGCAAUCUGGUGUCAAAUCUGGCGAAAAUUGCAAUCUGGUGCACAGUGUGAAUGGAGUUUUGGGG